GUAGGGUGCGAGCGUUAAUCGGAAUUACUGGGCGUAAAGGGUGCGUAGGUGGUUUGUUAAGUCAGGCGUGAAAUCCUCGGGCUCAACCUGGGAACUGCGCUUGAUACUGGCAGACUCGAGUGUGGUAGAGGAUAGUGGAAUUCCCGGUGUAGCGGUGAAAUGCGUAGAUAUCGGGAGGAACAUCAGUGGCGAAGGCGGCUAUCUGGACUAACACUGACACUGAGGCACGAAAGCGUGGGUAGCAAACAGGAUUAGAUACCCUGGUAGUCCACGCCCUAAACGAUGGGUACUAGACGUCGGGAAGCUUGUCUUCUUGGUGUCGCAGCUAACGCAAUAAGUACCCCGCCUGGGGAGUACGGUCGCAAGAUUA
rnacentral:rRNA from 1 species